rnacentral:lncRNA from 1 species
CUCGGGACGGCUCUGCCCCAGGGAGCGUGGGGCCAUCUGAGCCAAACAGAAUAGAGGGCUUGCACACAGCCCAGGAUGUGAGUUGAGCUCUGAAUGUCAAGACCAGUCCUGGACCUAUGACCACCCAGCUGGGAGGGAGCUGACAGAUGAGGAAACUGAGGCCCAGAGUGGUGCUGGAGGUCUCUGAGCCAGGAAUUGGCCCGUCGGGACUGGAAUGCAGGGCCCUGAGCCUGACAGCACUCUUCAGGAAGGGGCUAGAGCCCCGAGGGGUGAGGAAACUGAAGCUCUGAGAGCAGUAGCUCCCCUGAGCCGUGCAGCUGGAGAGUGCUGCGCCAACAGCAGAGCUGGGGCUCUUUGCAGGUGCACAGAGGAAGGGUUUGCUUCCCUUGCCGAGUUUCCUCAUGCUCACUUCCACCCCCAGCCCUCAGGUGUGUCUGACCUCUGCCCACUGAAAGGCGCCUUCCCUCUGCCGCUGGGCUUGGCUGUCUGCUUUCUUUCUGCUGCCUCUGACUUCUGCCAACUUGACAUUGGCUUCCAGUUCCUUCUGUCUUUCAGAGUUUGACAUUGUUGAUCCUCAUCCUGAAGUCUCACCUGAGUCUCCUUCACCUGGUUGUGCU